rnacentral:lncRNA from 1 species
AGGAUGCCAGGGAUGAUGGGAAGCCUGUUCUUGUUUAUCGGUUUGUACGGAACUUCACCCGCGGUAGAGUACGGCCUGAGAAUUUUGUUCCAGCACCGGUGAAAACAUCUGAGCCCAUGAAUUGCCAGACCCUGGAUACCUGAGACACAUCCACUUGCUUCUCAGGUUUGGAGUGCAUAAUGAGGAGAAAUAAAAACAGAAAGAUCUCCAGAAAGAAGCCAUGGUAAGAUUCAAGGUUUCACAGUCCAAGCUAAUGCCUGUGGACACUUGACCAAGUGAUCUGAGAAAAUUGGAUUUCUGGCAAAACAAGUGUACCUAGACUCAGGCAAGGGUGGAGAACAGAGGGCGACUAGAUUAAAUGGAAAGAAUGCCCAGGCAUCCCAUUGCCUCCCUUUGACGUUCCAGAACUUCAUCAAGACAGUGAUGAGCUACAUGUACACCUGGAGGAGGGCUAUUUGGUACUGGACAACCAAUUGGAGUGUUGUUUGCGGGGGAGGACCACCUCUCCAGGUAGAAUCUAAACAUCAGAAAAUCAACAACCCAGUUAAAAUAAUCUAGAGCACUAACCAGAGCGUUCUCAGAAGAAGCACUACAAACGGCUAAGAAACACGAGACUGCUCAACAUCCUUUGCCAUCAGGGAAACACAGAAGCUCACUUUUCAGUUUUCAUCUUUCUGGAGUCAGAAUGGUUAUCGUCAAGAAUGCCAGUGACAUGGAUGUAGAGGACGGAUUCCUUCAUUGUCUAAGUCUCUGGAAAUAGUGCAGAAGAGUAGUCAGGGACUAAAAGAUGGAAGACAGAAAGGGCUGCAAAGUUCCAUCCUAGAGACUCAAUACAGCCAUUGCAAUGAUGAACUCACAAAAACUGCAUUUACCUGAACUUAGCCUGCUCAAGACAUUGAAAGUGUUUCAAAGUAGCUUUUCCUGUUGUGAAUGUACCUCUCAGCUAGUCUGGUUUCUGGUUCAGAGCUCUUAGGCACAGAGUUGUCUUGAACAUUUGCUUACAGGCACUUGUGUAGAUAUCAGCUGCUUUUUUUUGUUAAAUCUCUGAAAUAAAUGCCUAGGCGUUCAAUGGCAAUGUUAUAUCAGUAUGUAUUUAGCUUAGUUUUAAAAUAAGAAACUGUCAAAUACUUUUGUAGAAUUACUGGACCAUUUUACACCCCUGCCAACAAAGUAAGAUUGAUCCAGCUCCCCACAUUCUCAUAAACAUUUGUUUUUGUUUCUUUAAGAAGACAAGUUAACCAUUCCAUUUAUUGAGAAUUUACUUACCAUUCAGUGCAUUGCUUAGAUAUGUAGUAUUCAGUUUUUAGUACACAUACAAGGUUGUGUAUCGAUUACUACUAAUUCCAGAACAUUUCCAUUACCAUAGAAAAAGAAACCCAAUAUUCAUUUUCAUCUCUCCUCUAUGGACUUACCUAAUCUAGAUAUACCAAAUAAAUGGAAUUUUUAUAAAAUAUGACCUUUUGUUUGGCUUCUUUCAUUUAGAAUAGAAUUUCAAGGUUUCUCCAUGUUCUACCAGCCUUCAAAUUAAUUUCAGUUGUUGUGCUUUCAGGUUUCAGAAUUUCUUUUCAUUUUCUGUUUAUAAUUUCAAAAUUAUUGUUUAAUAUCUAUUUAAUAAAACAGGUGUUUUGAAAUAUA